AACGAACGCUGGCGGCAGGCUUAACACAUGCAAGUCGAACGAAGUCUUCGGACUUAGUGGCAGACGGGUGAGUAACGCGUGGGAACCUACCUUUCGGUACGGAACAACAGUUGGAAACGACUGCUAAUACCGUAUGCGCCCUAUGGGGGAAAGAUUUAUCGCCGAAGGAUGGGCCCGCGUUGGAUUAGCUAGUUGGUUGGGUAAUGGCUGACCAAGGCGACGAUCCAUAGCUGGUCUGAGAGGAUGAUCAGCCACACUGGGACUGAGACACGGCCCAGACUCCUACGGGAGGCAGCAGUGGGGAAUAUUGGACAAUGGGGCAACCCUGAUCCAGCCAUGCCGCGUGAGUGAUGAAGGCCUAGGGUUAAAGCUCUUUCC
rnacentral:rRNA from 1 species